GUCAUAUUGGCAUGCCUAGUAAUAUAUGUUGUGUUGUUGUGGAAUAUCUUCCUGGAGGCGCCUUAAAAUCUUACCUUAUCAAAAACAGAAGAAAGAAGCUAGCGUUCAAAGUUGUAGUGCAGAUGGCACUUGAUUUGGCCAGAGGGUAAGUGCACCUUGUUUCGUUUUCACAUUUCUAACACCGUGUCUCUAUCAAGGAUUUGUCAUUUAUCUGAAACCAGGUCCAUUAACUGAACUUUGUAGGUUAAGUUACCUUCACUCUCAGAAGAUUGUGCAUAGAGAUGUCAAGACAGAGAAUAUGCUAUUGGACAAGUCACGUACUGUAAAAAUUGCUGACUUUGGGGNCGCAGCUUUAUUUGUCCUGGUACUAGUCUAAUGUCAGCUGCCAAUCAUUUGAAAGAGCACAUUUCAAUGAGAGACAACAUAUCCACUGAUUGUUGGCUUAGAUGUGAAAUUAUUUUGUUAUAAACUGUUUAUCUUACAUAUGAAUACAUCUCUCUCGUGUUAUACAGUUCAUCGGAGCAACCAUGGGCGCAUCUGGGCUAAAUUUACAAACAGAAAGUGGUCAUAUUGGCAUGCCUAGUAAUAUAUGUUGUGUUGUUGUGGAAUAUCUUCCUGGAGGCGCCUUAAAAUCUUACCUUAUCAAAAACAGAAGAAAGAAGCUAGCGUUCAAAGUUGUAGUGCAGAUGGCACUUGAUUUGGCCAGAGGGUAAGUGCACCUUGUUUCGUUUUCACAUUUCUAACACCGUGUCUCUAUCAAGGAUUUGUCAUUUAUCUGAAACCAG
rnacentral:lncRNA from 1 species